rnacentral:rRNA from 1 species
UACGUAGGGUGCGAGCGUUAAUCGGAAUUACUGGGCGUAAAGCGUGCGCAGGCGGUUCGUUAAGUUCGUUGUGAAAGCCCCGGGCUCAACCUGGGAACUGCAAUGGAAACUGGCGGGCUUGAGUGUGGCAGAGGGGGGUGGAAUUCCGCGUGUAGCAGUGAAAUGCGUAGAGAUGUGGAGGAAUACCGAUGGCGAAGGCAGCCCCCUGGGUCGACACUGACGCUCAUGCACGAAAGCGUGGGGAGCAAACAGG